rnacentral:rRNA from 1 species
UACAGAGGGUGCAAGCGUUGUUCGGAAUUAUUGGGCGUAAAGCGCGUGUAGGCGGCUCGUUAUGUCGGGGUGUGAAAAGCCCUCAGCUUAACUGAGGAAGUGCGCCCGAAACUGGCGAGCUUGAGUGCCGGAGAGGAUAGCGGAACACCCGGUGUAGAGGUGAAAAUUCGUAGAUAUUCGCAAGAACACCAGUGGCGAAGGCGGCUCACUGGCCCCGGUACUGACGCUGAGAUGCGAAACGUGGGGAGCAAACAGGG